rnacentral:rRNA from 1 species
AGUGAACGCUGGCGGUAGGCCUAACACAUGCAAGUCGAACGGCAGCACAGUAAGAGCUUGCUCUUACGGGUGGCGAGUGGCGGACGGGUGAGGAAUACAUCGGAAUCUACUUUUUCGUGGGGGAUAACGUAGGGAAACUUACGCUAAUACCGCAUACGACCUACGGGUGAAAGCAGGGGAUCUUCUGACCUUGCGCGAUUGAAUGAGCCGAUGCCGGAUUAGCUAGUUGGCGGGGUAAAGGCCCACCAAGGCGACGAUCCGUAGCUGGUCUGAGAGGAUGAUCGGCCACACUGGAACUGAGACACGGUCCAGACUCCUACGGGAGGCAGCAGUGGGGAAUAUUGGACAAUGGGCGCAAGCCUGAUCCAGCCAUACCGCGUGGGUGAAGAAGGCCUUCGGGUUGUAAAGCCCUUUUGUUGGGAAAGAAAAGCAGCAGGUUAAUACCCCGCUGUUCUGACGGUACCCAAAGAAUAAGCACCGGCUAACUUCGUG